rnacentral:rRNA from 1 species
GAUGAACGCUGGCGGCGUGCCUAACACAUGCAAGUCGAGCGACCAGACGAGGAGCUUGCUCCCCUGCCGUUAGCGGCGGACGGGUGAGUAACACGUGGAUAACAUACUUAUUUGACUGGGAUGAUUUCGGGAGAACGGAGCCAAUAAUGCCUCAUAUAUUCUACGGCAUGGAUCAAUAGUGAAAGACGGCUUUGCUGUUUCAUUUAGACGGUUCCGCGUCGCAUUAGCUAGUUGGUAAGGUACCGGCUAACCAAGGCAACGAUGCGUAGCCGACCUGAGAGGGUGAUUGGGCACACUGGAACUGGAGCCACGUCCCAGAUCCUACGGGGGGGAGCAGUAGGGAAACUUCCGCAAUGGGCGGAAACCUUACGGAGGAAAGCCGCGGGAGGUAUGGAGGUCUUCGGAUCUUAAAACUCUUUUAGUAGGGAAAAAAAAAUGUGUAAGUAACUAUGCACUGCUUGACGGUACCUAAUAAGAUAGCCACGGCUAACUACGGG